rnacentral:rRNA from 1 species
CCUACGGGUGGCAGCAGUGAGGAAUAUUGGUCAAUGGGCGGGAGCCUGAACCAGCCAAGUCGCGUGAGGGACGACGGUCAUAUGGAUUGGAAACCUCAUUUGUCGGGGAACAAAGGCGCCCACGGGUGGGCGGAUGAGUGUACCCGAAGAAAAAGCAUCGGCUAACUCAGUGCCAGCAGCCGCGGGAAUACGGAGGAUGCGAGCGGGAUCCGGAUGUAUUGGGUUUAAAGGGUGCGUAGGCGGACAGGCAAGGCAGCGGUAAAAAUGCGGUGCUCAACGCCGUACAGCCGUUGAAACUGGCAGUCUUGAGUGGGCGAGAGGUAUGCGGAAUGCGUGGUGUAGCGGGGAAAUGCAUAGAUAUCACGCAGAACUCCGAUUGCGAAGGCAGCAUACCGGCGCCCUACUGACGCUGAGGCACGAAAGCGUGGGUAUCGAACAGGAUUAGAUACCCGAGUAGUC